rnacentral:rRNA from 1 species
ACGUAUGGGGCAAGCGUUGUUCGGAAUUAUUGGGCGUAAAGGACGUCUAGGCGGGGGAUUAAGUUAGAUGUGAAAGCUAUGGGCUCAACCCAUAAACUGCAUCUAAGACUGGUUCUCUUGAGUCCGGGAGAGGAAAACGGAAUUCCAGGUGUAGCGGUGAAAUGCGUAGAGAUCUGAAGGAACACCAGUGGCGAAGGCGGCCCUCUGGACUAGGACUGACGCUGAAGCGCGAAAGCGUGGGGAGCAAACAG